GACGUAGGGCGCGAGCGUUAUCCGGAAUUAUUGGGCGUAAAGCGCUCGCAGGCGGUUUCUUAAGUCUGAUGUGAAAGCCCACGGCUCAACCGUGGAGGGUCAUUGGAAACUGGGGAACUUGAGUGCAGAAGAGGAGAGUGGAAUUCCACGUGUAGCGGUGAAAUGCGCAGAUAUUAGGAGGAACACCGGUGGCGAAGGCGCCACUCUGGGCCGAAACUGACGCUGAGGAGCGAAAGCAUGGGUAGCAAACAGG
rnacentral:rRNA from 1 species